rnacentral:tmRNA from 1 species
UCACUUCACAUUAAGCGGGCGCGGCCUAUAUAGGGCGUGCCCGUCGUUGCGGGCUAUGGCGAUAAAUUGCGCUGUGUAAUAGGCACAACGGACCCGGGGGCAGUACCCGGCGGCUCCACCAUAACCCUCGGAAUUUACGGGGUUUCUGACGGGGCCGAACCAGGAUCGACGUGUGUUGAAAGGCAGUGUUUUCACCCGGGCUGAGUAACCCGUUAAAGGCUCAAAACACACAAGUGCCAAUGAUAAUGAAGCACUCGCUGUUGCAGCGUAAUUCUAUGGCCUAACGGCUUGAAUUUACAAAGCUAAAGCGCGGUUGGACCCACCGGGCAACAGAAGCGGAUUCCG